AUUGAUUCAUGUUACACGUUUCAUCUGCUACUCCAGCAACACCAAAGUUUCACCAAGGAUCAACAUCGGUGACUACAAGUUUAGGUAGCAGCACAGUCCUCAACUCUGCCUUCUGUACGGAUGACGAUGUGCGCUUUUUGGGAAUUUCUUGGCAAUGGAGUGAUGGGGAUCAGGUCACGAUGAUCCGCGUUAACGAAAUAAACAAGCAGGAGCAGUACGAUGAGCGCAUAUCGGCGAGUUUAGUUCCGCAAUCCGGUCAACCUGGCUGCUAUGUUGGAUCGCUGAGAAUACAGAACAUCGUAAAGGACGACACGGAGAAGACGUACAGCAUUUUCGCAUACAGCGAUGCUGGGGACAGUGAUUUCCACAUGCGAAUGACCAUGGCUCACACGGAGCUAUCAGCGGGAGACAUUGCUGGAAUCGUCGUAGGAUCUGUCCUCUUCUUGAUCGCCGCCAUCUUGCUGGUCAUCUGCUGUAUAUUUAAUAAUAAGUCCAGUACCUGCACAGAUGACAUUGUUGCUCAUUAGUAACGAGUGGGCUAUUGAGCUGUAGUGACGUGUUAUAGCAGGGGUUCUCAGUACAAAACUCGAUCGCAAAAGCAACGUGUUGCUCAUGUGACUGCCUCGUUGCCAAAUUAACACACUGACAGUGGUAGACGGAUCUGCCGAUGCCUAUAUAGUUGUCAUUUUACAUCGGUACCAUAUUAAUCAACGCAUCUGCCAGCUUCAACACUUGGCUCAGUUGCAAUAAAUUUAAUUGAAGUUACUUAGUAAGAUAUCACUAGCAGAGUGAACGCAGACUGUGAAUAAGUUUUUAAUUUCUGUAAUUGUGUUGUUGAAAUAAGUUGUGAUUUCCGAUAAGUGUUCAGAAUUCACGUCUGUGAAUGUGAUUUGCUUAGCCGCGGUAGGCACGACCAAUUGUCUCCGACAUCGUUUGAAGACAUUUCGUGCAGAGGUUCAUCUACGUAUUGUACUAUGUAAGCUAGCGAAGAGGUAUGCUGCAUGACAGCAAACUGCUCAUAGUUAACGAGAAGUAUUGCUAGAUGGCGACAAGUUAGCUUUGAUUGGUGCUGACUUUUAUACACUGGUUGUUGUUAAAGUUUUCACAUGGGCGCAAUACGUGGAUAAAUGUCUUGGUUUAGCAAACUAGUAAAUGUCUAAAUCCGAGCCUAAACGAGGAAAAAUAACCUGCGGUUUCACUGGAGGAAUAACACCAUGGCGUUUUUAAAACAUCGUGUACACCGACUAUAUAGUAAGAAACCCGUCCGCAGCGCAGACGUGGGGCCGUAUAAACAUAACGCCAAACCGAAUAUUUUGCAAUAUUCUUUACUUGUAAUAUAUACAUUUGUGAGACACUGCAUGUAGUGAAUUAGGAUUAUUUUGGCUCAUCUACUUAUCUACCUCAAAAUGCCUGGUCGGAUUCAUGCAAACAAGCAAUGAUAAAUGUGACCUAAGUAGGUUCUGUAAGUAAGUAUUGUCUGUGACUGUAUAUCUGCCGUACAUUAACAAAUGUGUUUACUCGAGCAAUGUAAUCAGCUUAUGCGCAAAAGUUGUAACGCAUACCUUAAACAAUCUAAUCUAUAUUUGAGUUCGUGCUGUCAUAUAAAUGGCAUACGUAACAGUUUUUCCCCAUGCUUAUUAUCUUA